AUGAACGCUGGCGGCGUGCCUAAUACAUGCAAGUCGCGCGAACAGACGAGGAGCUUGCUCCUCUGACGUUAGCGGCGGACGGGUGAGUAACACGUGGAUAACCUACCUAUAAGACUGGGAUAACUUCGGGAAACCGGAGCUAAUACCGGAUAAUAUAUUGAACCGCAUGGUUCAAUAGUGAAAGACGGUUUUGCUGUCACUUAUAGAUGGAUCCGCGCCGCAUUAGCUAGUUGGUAAGGUAACGGCUUACCAAGGCAACGAUGCGUAGCCGACCUGAGAGGGUGAUCGGCCACACUGGAACUGAGACACGGUCCAGACUCCUACGGGAGGCAGCAGUAGGGAAUCUUCCGCAAUGGGCGAAAGCUUGACGGAGCAACGCCGCGUGAGUGAUGAAGGUCUUCGGAUCGUAAAACUCUGUUAUUAGGGAAGAACAAAUGUGUAAGUAACUAUGCACGUCUUGACGGUACCUAAUCAGAAAGCCACGGCUAUCUACGUG
rnacentral:rRNA from 1 species